UUUUGAGAAGCCGAGGCAGGAUCGCUUGAGCCCAGGACAUGGAGAACAGCCUAGGUCAAAAGAAUGUCUACAGAGAACACAAGAGGAAAUACUUGGCUGGAAUCCACAGGAACCACUGAGGAUAACCCAGGUCCCCAGACAGGCUCAACAAUGGCUCUGAGCUAAUAUACAAAGUCCAUCAUCCGCAGCACAGAGAAAAGGAAGGGGUCUUUGGGGACUUCUCC
rnacentral:lncRNA from 10 species